GGCCGGGUAGCCGAGUGGUCCAGGCAGCGGUCUGCAAAACCGCGUACGCGGGUUCAAUUCCCGCCCCGGCCU
rnacentral:tRNA from 1 species